GACGAACGCUGGCGGCGUGCUUAACACAUGCAAGUCGAACGGAAAGGCCCUGCUUUUGUGGGGUGCUCGAGUGGCGAACGGGUGAGUAACACGUGAGUAACCUGCCCUUGACUUUGGGAUAACUUCAGGAAACUGGGGCUAAUACCGGAUAGGAGCUCCUGCUGCAUGGUGGGGGUUGGAAAGUUUCGGCGGUUGGGGAUGGACUCGCGGCUUAUCAGCUUGUUGGUGGGGUAGUGGCUUACCAAGGCUUUGACGGGUAGCCGGCCUGAGAGGGUGACCGGCCACAUUGGGACUGAGAUACGGCCCAGACUCCUACGGGAGGCAGCAGCGGGGAAUAUUGCACAAAGGGCGGAAGCCUGAUGCAGCAACGCCGCGUGCGGGAUGACGGCCUUCGGGUUGUAAACCGCUUUCGCCUGUGACGAAGCGUGAGUGACGGUAAUGGGUAAAGAAGCACCGGCUAACUACGUG
rnacentral:rRNA from 1 species